AAUCAACGCUGGCGGCGUGCCUAACACAUGCAAGUCGAACGCGAAAACCCCGCAAGGGGUUAGUAGAGUGGCAAACGGGUGAGUAACACGUGGGUGACCUGCCUUCGAGUGGGGAUAACGUCCCGAAAGGGACGCUAAUACCGCAUGACAUCCUGCCUUUGAAGAGGCGGAGAUCAAAGCUGGGGACCGCAAGGCCUAGCGCUUGAAGAGGGGCCCGCGCCUGAUUAGCUAGUUGGUGGGGUAAGGCUCACCAAGGCAACGAUCAGUAUCCGGCCUGAGAGGGCGGACGGACACACUGGGACUGAGACACGGCCCAGACUCCUACGGGAGGCAGCAGUGGGGAAUAUUGGACAAUGGGCNCAAGCCUGAUCCAGCAAUGCCGCGUGGAUGAAAGAAGGUUUUCGGAUUGUAAAGUCCUUUCGGGCGGGACGAUGAUGACCGGUACCCCGNAGAAGAACGCCCCGGCUAACUUCGUGCCAGCAGCCG
rnacentral:rRNA from 1 species